rnacentral:rRNA from 1 species
CACGUAGGGCGCAAGCGUUGUCCGGAAUUAUUGGGCGUAAAGAGCUCGUAGGCGGUCUGCCACGUCCGCUGUGAAAACCUAGGGCUUAACCCUGGACUUGCAGUAGAUACGGGCAGACUAGAGGUAGGUAGGGGAGAAUGGAAUUCCCGGUGUAGCGGUGAAAUGCGCAGAUAUCGGGAGGAACACCGGUGGCGAAGGCGGUUCUCUGGGCCUUACCUGACGCUGAGGAGCGAAAGCGUGGGGAGCAAACAGG